rnacentral:lncRNA from 1 species
GUCGUAAUGACUCAGCAUCCCCGGUGCGUGCGCCUUCCGGAACAGCUCGCGACAAUCCAGCGGCAUGGGUCGCCACGCACCCGACCUCCUGCGGCCUCCUUCAACUCGGACCCGAGAACUGCCGCCUCCGGCCUCCGUGAACCUCUCCCCGGGCUACUCCCUACGCCCUUAUUGCGAUGAUCCCUUGGUUUCCAGUUUCUGCCCGACUCCUGUCCAGCGGCCCCGAAUUAAGGCCUGGCUUAUCUUAAUGCCCAUACCUCAGUUUCCCCAUCUGUAUAACAGGGCUUUUGUUUGGCAGUAUGCCCGCCAUAGGCGCAGGAAAGAAAAGCCGUUUGCGGAGGCCGGAGGUGGCAGCGACUGUAUGGAGCUGAGAGAGGGGCCGGAAGAAGCCCUGGGCCUGGAACUCCAGCAGGACAGGGCGCACUCCCUGGAUGGCUGGCCUCUCUGGGGGAACCAGACGACGGAGAAGCUCAAUUUGGGUGCCCAGUUCUUCAGCCUCUUCUCCUAUCUUCACUCCCUCUCAUCCAGACUCUCAUCUAGAGAUCCUGUCAAAUGCUGUCUAUUCACUGAUGACUCCCAAGUUUUUCCUCCAGCUCGAACCUUUUCUCCCCUGUUCUCCAGACAUGAAGACCCAACUCAACACCUCCACUUAGAUGUCUAAUAGCUUUUGAAAACUUAACAUGUCCAAAAAAGAGAUCAUGAUCACCCCUCCAAAAUUUGCAUCUCUCCAAGAUGCAAUGACAAUUCCAUUUUUCCAGGGGCUCAGGUGGAAGACUGGAUGUCACCCUUGACUGUUCUCUCUCUCUCACCAGGAAAUUGUCAAUUCUUCAAAGUUCUCACAAUGACUUACAAGGUCCUUUGUGAUCUCGUUGCCUGCCUUCCCUCGCUGACCCCAUCUGCUGUCCCUGUUCCCUCACUCACUCCACUCCAGCCACACGUGCCUCCUUCUUCUGAAACAUCUCAGCAUGCCCCAUUUUGCAGUUGCUUUUUCUGGUGCCUGUGCACUUUCCCCCAGAUGUCAAGUUGGCAUGCUUCCUCACCUUUUCCAGGCUUUUGCUUACAUGUUGCCUCAUUAGUGAGAUUUCCCUUGACCGGUCUAUUCAAAAUUGCAACUCCUAUUCCAAGCACUCUCUCCAGCCUCUCUUUUCUCAAUAGCACUUACUAGCGUCUGACAUACCAUAUAUUUUACUUAUGUGUCACUUCUGUACCCGCAGCACCUGGACCACUACUUGUAACAUAGAAGGUGCUGGAAGGGGUUGUGUUAAAUGAAUAAACGAAUGAACAAAUGAAGCAGUCCGGGGCAUGGGGAGC